CGUCCGCGAGGUGCCCUCCUGGGGUCUGAGAAGGGAAUUGGUGACCAACGUGGGACAAGUCUUCUUUCAGCAAGAGAGACAGACUCAGUAACUUGUAAAAACACCCGAAUCAAACCUCCGCUGAGAUGCCCGCCUCCCGGGAAGGGUCUGGGCUGGAAGGACUCCCAGUGACCACUGCCCACUCCGGAAGUCCAGGGCACCGUGUCUCCCUUCCUGGCCUGAAGCCAGCUCAGCGCUCUCCAUGGGUCCUUCCUGGACUCAGCUUUGAACGAGAAGCCCAGUGUCCGGGCGUGGCCGGUGGGCAGACUUCACGCAGGGCCACGUGGCCCCCUAGGAAGCAGUUCCAAUGCCCAGCACUUGAGGAGUCCCACUGCCCAGGACGGCCCAGGUGGAUGUGGCGGUGCUGCAGCCAGGCCGGGAGGCAGGGGUUCCGCCCAGUGUCACCCCCUGACCCCAGCCACCGAGCUCUCCACGCAGGGCCUCGGCCCACGAAGGAAUAGUCUUGUCGCUUCGACCUCUUGGCAUCCACUUUGUGCACACGAGGUGGGCAAGGCCAGGGGAGGCCGUGGAUCUUCCCUUCGCAGUGCUGCUCCGGGGCGGCCCGCGGCUCGGUUCAGCCCCUCCAGGACCAUGGGGCCAGCUCUCCAGAACCUGGAGCCAACUCACCAGGUGGGGACAGAGCGGACCCUCCCCCAUACUCCGAACAGACCAGACUGUGCCCUCUGCACCGUGCCCAGGGAGGCCCAGCCCUAGCAGCCGCCGUCCCCACACGCCCUGGAUUGGCCUUGCUCACCCUCUCUGUUGCUGUCUCUCCCUUUCCCAGAGUCACUUCUUCAAAAUAGGCCAUCUGCCCACCAGCCCUGGCCUCCCCUCGGAGGCCCAGCAGAACCCAAGGCAGGACUCCAUUUUUAAACAGCCCACCCCCAGCUGGACCUGGUGUGGCGGAGGGCUUGGUCCAGUGCCUGGGAGUCUCUCCCAACCCCAGGUCCACGUUCUGACCCUCCACCGAGUUUUAAUGGGCAUCCAGAACGAGCCAGAGGAAACGGGAUGGAGGGAUGGCGGGUGAGCGUGGCGGACACUACUACUCCCAGGGUCUCUGGAAGCCGGGGCGCACAGUCAGGCGGAAACCCGGGCCCAGGCGCCUGCUCAGAAGCCAACCGAAGCCACACUCGGCCAUGGGGCAAAGCCACCUGACUGUCACGGGUGGACACUAGGCAACCGAGGGGUACCCCGGGGGGUGACCAGAGGAGCCAGCCAGGCCACGUUCCGGGGGUCACGGCCGACAGCCAGGGGCGGCUCCUGUCCCCAGGACGGGGUGGGAAGGGGAGUCCUUCGUCUUGGAAAGAGUGGCCUCUUGGCUCUGUAGAGAGGGGGCAUUGUGGAGAGUCGCCCAGACCCCGUGAGCAGGCCAGGCCGCCGUGAGGCCCUUCCCCAGGAGGAAGCCCAGGGCCAGCUCGACACUCAGCCCAGCGCACAGUCGAGGGCCCCGUCCUGCCCACGGUCAUCAGCCACGAAGAGGAGCUGGUGGGAAGCACCCUCCUCAGACACGCCCCACCGCCACAGCGCCCUACGCAUGACCUUAGAGCACCCAAAGGCACACCCCACCUGCCUACCGUCACCGCCCAGUUAAUCCACUCAAGUGGAUUAAUCCACUGAUUAAGUCACAUCUCUCAUAACCGAUCGUCUUCACCUCUGAACGUUCUACCACUGUCUCCUGUGACAUUUGGGGGGGGGUCACCUCAUGUCCAUGGGAUGUGGCUGGUGUGACACAAGCUCUUUGAGGUCCUUCAUGAGUUCGUAAGUGAAAACGGGUCCUGAGACCAAAAGCUCCCUCUGUGGCCCUACUGCGUGUAUGUUUGGAAUGGCUUCUUACAGGGCCAUGGAAAUCCCAUCCAAUGUGAGUUCAUGAGGUUGACUUGACAGUUACACCAGACUGUGUUGUAAAGCAAUUUUACAAGGCUGCGUUUUCUAUAAAGACCUUUGCACAAA